rnacentral:rRNA from 1 species
UACAGAGGCCCCAAGCGUUACUGAGAAUCACUGGGCUUAAAGGGUGCGUAGGUGGUCCGUUAAGUCUGUUGUGAAAGCCCUUGGCUCAACCAAGGAAUUGCUUCGGAUACUGGCGGACUUGAGGCUAGUAGAGGUCACUGGAACUGACGGUGGAGCGGUGAAAUGCGUAGAUAUCGUCAGGAACGCCGGUGGUGAAGACGGGUGACUGGGCUAGUUCUGACACUGAGGCACGAAAGCGUGGGGAGCGAACGGG